UACGGAGGGUGCGAACGUUAAUCGGAAUCACUGGGCGUAAAGCGCGCGUAGGCGGUUCGUUAAGUGGGAUGUGAAAUCCCCGGGCUUAACCUGGGAAUUGCAUUUCAAACUGGCAGACUAGAGUACGGUAGAGGGAGGUAGAAUUUCCUGUGUAGCGGUGAAAUGCGUAGAUAUAGGAAGGAAUACCAGUGGCGAAGGCGGCCUCCUGGAUCGAUACUGACGCUGAGGCGCGAAAGCGUGGGGAGCAAACAGG
rnacentral:rRNA from 1 species